GAUGAACGCUAGCGGCAGGCCUAACACAUGCAAGUCGAGGGGUAACUAGAGUGAUAGCAAUAUUACUUUGGCUAGACCGGCGCACGGGUGCGUAACACGUAUGCAACCUACCUUAUACUGGGGAAUAACUUCGAGAAAUCGGCGCUAAUACCCCAUAACAUUGCGAAGAGGCAUCUCUUUGCAAUUAAAGCUCCGGCGGUAUAAGAUGGGCAUGCUUCCAAUUAUCUAGUUGGUGAGGUAACGGCUCACCAAGGCUACGGUUGGUAGGGGUUCUGAGAGGAUGAUCCCCCACGCGGGUACUGAGGCACGGACCAGACUACUACGGGAGGCAGCAGUGAGGAAUAUUGCGCAAUGGACGAAAGUCUGACGCAGCCAUGCCGCGUGCAGGAUGACGGCCCUAUGGGUUGUAAACUGCUUUUGUACGGGAAUAAACCCUUCUACGUGUAGGAGGCUGAAGGUACCGUAAGAAUAAGCACCGGCUAACUCCGUGCCAGCCGCCGCCGUAACAC
rnacentral:rRNA from 1 species